rnacentral:rRNA from 1 species
GACGAACGCUGGCGGCGUGCUUAACACAUGCAAGUCGAACGGAAAGGCCCCCACUUUUUUGGUGGGGGUGCUCGAGUGGCGAACGGGUGAGUAACACGUGGGUGAUCUGCCCUGUACUUCGGGAUAAGCUUGGGAAACUGGGUCUAAUACCGGAUAGGACCAUGGUUUAGUGUCUCAUGGUGGAAAAAUUAUUGUUUUGGUGCAGGAUGAGCUCGCGGCCUAUCAGCUUGAUGGUGGGGUAAUGGCCUACCAAGGCGUCGACGGGUAGCCGGCCUGAGAGGGUGGACGGCCACAUUGGGACUGAGAUACGGCCCAGACUCCUACGGGAGGCAGCAGUGGGGAAUAUUGCACAAUGGGCGCAAGCCUGAUGCAGCGACGCCGCGUGGGGGAUGACGGCCUUCGGGUUGUAAACUCCUUUCGUUAGGGACGAAGCCGCACCUUUUUUGGGUGUGGUGACGGUACCUUUGUUAAGAAGCACCGGCUAACUACGUG